GGCGGGACAGCGCCUAAUACCGGCGCUAAUACUGCCUAAUAAAUAUUAGUUUCCUAAUCUUCGCCAUCCAACUGAGUAUUUUUUGUUCAGCAUGCCAUGAGUUUCCAUGCAACAACUAACUGUCACAAAGUCAAGAGGAUGGAAUACGGCAAAUAACGUCGGUUCACAGCAUUGAGGAUGUGGCUUUCGAAAUUCCAUGGCGCAGUGCUUAGGGAGACCAAAAUAAAUGGAUUGAUUGGGCAUGAUGACCAAGUUCCUGCAUUACGCUCCUGGAAAAACAUUCAUUUGUGUUAGUUGCGAAUAAAAACAUGUAAACUUAAACCAAA